rfam:Dipodomys ordii contig_70646, whole genome shotgun sequence.
CUAAAGGCCCUUGUAAGGGCCACCCAUUUAAUCAUAAAAGGCGCCU